rnacentral:rRNA from 1 species
UAAGAGCCCACCAAGGCAUAGGUCGGUAGCCGGCCUGAGAGGGCACACGGCCACACUGGCACUGAAACACGUUCAUAGACACCUACGGGAGGCAGCAGUGGGGAAUCUUGCACAAUGGGGGAAACCCUGCUGCAGCGACGCCGCGUGAGCGAUGAAGCCCUUCGGGGUGUAAAGCUCUUUCGGCAGGGAAGAUAGUGACGGUACCUGCAGAAGCAGCUGCGGCUAACUACGUGCCAGCAGCCGCGGUAAUACGUAGGCAGCAAGCGUUGUUCGGAGUUACUGGGCGUAAAGGGUGUGUAGGCGGUUCUUUAAGUUUGGUGUGAAAUCUCCCGGCUUAACUGGGAGGGUGCGCCGAAUACUGAAGGACUAGAGUACGGGAGAGGAAAGUGGAAUUCCUGGUGUAGCGGUGAAAUG